rfam:Nitrosomonas eutropha C91, complete genome.
AACCGACAAAGGCCAACCUGUCGUGAGGCAGGGGCGCAAAGUUUCCGAUCCUGAUUGCAUCAGGAAAGCGGGACUGCCGAA